UAAAAAAAAUCUGAUUUUUCUGAUGUAUCAAAAUUUAUAUUCAAAAAUUUCAAUCGUGUUCAAUCAUCUAGGAAAUUUGAAUUUUAUUUUCAUCGAAAAAAUAAUGAGAUAUGAUUAUUAUAACGAGGAACGAUUAAUACUUAUUCCCCCGAUGUGUGUCAUUUAUACACGCACAAUAAAUAUGUGCGUACCUGUGUCAUUUUAUCGCCUUUGGUAUGCUCUAAUAAAAUAGUGCAUAUUUUUGCACAAUCGUGAGGGAAAAUUUUUAUACAAAUAUCAGUUAAUAAUGCAUAUCUUGACAUAAUUUUUAUCUAGAUUAGUAAUAAUACCAACUGUAAAGCAAAGGAGUAAUGUGUACACAUUGUCAAUACUAUCAGGCUGUUCAAUCCAGAGUUUAUGAUGGAUGUUCUCAUUUGUCAAUGUUAAAGAUAAAUUAUUUAAACUGGUCUCAUCUGGAAUCUAACAUUAAUAUAAAUAUAAAUAUAUCCAUAUAUGAAUAUAUUAUAAAUGUCACCAUACUCCUUCGCUAUUUUAAAAAUUGUAUACACAAGAGUUAUGCACAAUAAUAUGUUCAAAUUGACGUCUAAUAUCUAUAAUACAUAUAGUUCCUGGAUAUACUUACUUCCAAGAUAACUUUGUGCAUAACAUCUAAAUUGGCAAGAUAGGCUUGUGUGUAAUUAUCAUUGUAAAAAAGAUGAGUAACAGCAGUGCACGCAUGGCAUGCUUGAGCUAUAACUGCGCCAAUGGGCCAAUGCAUUGUCUUCAGAAGAUCUCCUCUUACUACCACAUAUUGAACUAGCACGCUCAUCCUA